rnacentral:rRNA from 1 species
AGAGGCGGGAUAUGACAAUAAGACGAGAAGACCCUAUGGAGCUUUAAUAACCAGCCCAAAGAGAUCUUAAUAACCAACCGACAGGGUAUAACAAACCUCUACCAUGGGCUGACAAUUUAGGUUGGGGUGACCUCGGAGAAUAAAACAACCUCCGAGUGAUUUAAAUCUAGACUAACCAGUCGAAAGUAUUACAUCACUUAUUGAUCCAAAGAGUUAAUCAACGGAACAAGUUACCCUAGGGAUAACAGCGCAAUCCUAUUUCAGAGUCCAUAUC